GGACUACUGGGGUUUCUAAUCCCGUUCGCUCCCCUCGCUUUCGCACCUGAGCGUCAGAAACGAGCCAGGACACUGCCUUCGCCUUUGGUGUUCUUCCGGAUCUCUACGCAUUUCACUGCUCCACCCGGAGUUCCGUGUCCCUCUCUCGCUCUCAAGUCCACCAGUUUUCAAGGCACUUCAUCAGUUAAGCUGAUGACUGUCACCCUGAACUUAAUGGACCGCCUGCGUGCCCUUUACGCCCAAUAAAUCCGGACAACGCUUGCCCCCUACGUAUUACCGCGGCUGCUGGCAC
rnacentral:rRNA from 1 species